AAUAAUUUAUUAAUGCAUAUUUAUUUGGAAGAUAAGUUUUAAGUUGGCUUUGCAUGUGUUGGUUUCCUUCAACCAUCUCUUUCCACGCGGCUGCUCAAUCUUCAUCACUUUCCAUCGCCUCCCCUUUGCUGCCCUUUAUAUUCGGCCUCCUUGGUUUACAUUUCAUUCCAUUCUGCCAUUGUUUGAAAUGAGAGGCAGGCCGAAAGUUUUGAGUAACGGCAACAGAAAAUAAAAAAAGAAAAAAAGAUUAUCAUUGUUACGGUGUUUCAACGUUCGGGGAUUUGUAACGGCCUCGAAGACGCCCGGCCCUGCCAUCAGGAGAAUGGCCAGAAUUCCGAGCUGGUCGCUAUGCUACCUUUCUGCUGAACACCACCAGCUGACGAUUUUCGAGCACUUAGCUCUUCGAGCAGCAAGCAACACCAACCGAUUUCACAGAGUAUUCAGGUGCUCUGGCAAUACGCCAUUUAGACAUAUCUGUCGCCUAGCAGGAGCUGUAACAACCUGCCAUAAUUGACUGUGGCAUCUUCUAUUUUUCAAGCGCAGGCUCUUUUGACUAUAAAAUCGACACUUUCGUUAAUAUGACA